ACUUUGGGAGGCUGAGGCAGGAUCACCUGAGGUCUUUAAGCUCAAAGGGUCUAGAAACGAUGAUAUCCCAGCCACAGUGAGCUCACCUUGCACUCAGAUCUUCGUUUUCUAGCACUAUUCUCCAGCGUAUGAAACUGGCAAUCCUUGGAGAACUGGUUUGUUCCAGGACUGGGGCAGGCCUGAAGAUGGACCUGGGAGAGCACGACCUCGCCACAACAUCACCAUCCUGAUCAGAGGCGAGAGGGGACAAGGUCAUAGGUGUGGAGAUUUUCAGGUUUUGGGGAAAGCGAUUCUGAGAACUCUGAAGGCUAUUUCCACGGAAAUGAGAAGAAAAAUAUUUUCCAAGGACCAAGUACCCACCGGCCACCGUGGGAAAUGUUUUCACGGCCGCUACACUGAAGUUUCACUGCCACCUAGGGAAGUUGCUAUCA
rnacentral:lncRNA from 1 species